UACGUAGGGUGCAAGCGUUAAUCGGAAUUACUGGGCGUAAAGGGCGCGUAGGCGGCCUGCUAAGUCGAACGUGAAAUCCCUGGGCUCAACCCAGGGACUGCGUCCGAUACUGGUUGGCUUGAAUCCGGGAGAGGGAUGCGGAAUUCCAGGUGUAGCGGUGAAAUGCGUAGAUAUCUGGAGGAACACCGGUGGCGAAGGCGGCAUCCUGGACCGGUAUUGACGCUGAGGAGCGAAAGCCAGGGGAGCAAACGGG
rnacentral:rRNA from 1 species